rnacentral:rRNA from 1 species
AACGAACGCUGGCGGCAAGCUUAACACAUGCAAGUCGAACGGAUUAUUCUUUAUAGCUUGCUAUAAAGAAUAGUUAGUGGCAGACGGGUGAGUAAUGCAUAGGAAUCUACCUAGUAGUAUGGGAUAGCCACUAGAAAUGGUGGGUAAUACUGUAUAAUCCCUGCGGGGGAAAGAUUUAUCGCUAUUAGAUGAGCCUAUGUUAGAUUAGCUAGUUGGUAGGGUAAUGGCCUACCAAGGCGGUGAUCUGUAGCUGGUCUGAGAGGAUGAUCAGCCACACUGGAACUGAGACACGGUCCAGACUCCUACGGGAGGCAGCAGUGGGGAAUAUUGGACAAUGGGCGCAAGCCUGAUCCAGCUAUGCCGCGUGAGUGAGGAAGGCCUUAGGGUUGUAAAACUCUCUCAGUAGGGAAGAUAAUGACGGUACCUACAGAAGAAGUCC